rnacentral:rRNA from 1 species
AUUGAACGCUGGCGGCAUGCCUUACACAUGCAAGUCGAACGGUAACAGGUUAAGCUGCCGAGUGGCGAACGGGUGAGUAAUAUAUCGGAACGUGCCCAGUCGUGGGGGAUAACGUGGCGAAAGCUACGCUAAUACCGCAUACGAUCUACGGAUGAAAGCGGGGGAUCGCAAGACCUCGCGCGAUUGGAGCGGCCGAUAUCAGAUUAGGUUGUUGGUGAGGUAAAAGCUCACCAAGCCUGCGAUCUGUAGCUGGUCUGAGAGGACGACCAGCCACACUGGAACUUAGACACGGUCCAGACUCCUACGGGAGGCAGCAGUGGGGAAUUUUGGACAACGGACGCAAGUAUGAUCCAGCAAUGCCGCUUGCAGGACGAAGGCCUUCGGGUUGUAAGCUGCUUUUGUACGGAACGAAACGGUGAGCUCUAAUACAGUUUGCUAAUGACGGUACCGUAAGAAUAAGCGCCGGCUAACUACGUGCCAGCAGCCGCGGUAA